GCCAUAUCACAUUGGAACACCUGUUCUCAUCUGAUCACAGAAGUUAAGCAAUGUAGUGCCUGGUCUGUACCUAGAUGGGUGACCACUUGGGAAUAACAGAUGCUGUAAG